rnacentral:rRNA from 1 species
UUCUUUCUAGAUACACUUUCCAGUACACCUACUUUGUUACGACUUAUUUCAUUUUAAAAUGAAAGCGACGGGCGAUAUGUACAUAUUUUAGAGCUUUAAUCAUUUUAAAUAAAUUUAUUAAAAUUACAUUCAAAUCCACAUUUAGACCCCUUUAACAGAAGCCCUCCUUAAAUAAAUUUAAUGUAACCCAUCUCUACUCUAAUAUAAACUACACCUUGAUCUGAUUUAUUUUUUAAUUAAAAUUCUUGAAUAUUAAUAUUCUAAUAAAAUAUUCAAACUACGACGAUAUGCAAAUUAAUAAUUAAAGUUAAUAUUAUCGUGGAUUAUCAAUUACAGGACAGGUUCCUCUGAAAAGACUAAAAUACCGCCAAAUUUU